rnacentral:rRNA from 1 species
UACGAAGGGGGCUAGCGUUGCUCGGAAUCACUGGGCGUAAAGCGCACGUAGGCGGACUCUUAAGUCAGGGGUGAAAUCCUGGAGCUCAACUCCAGAACUGCCUUUGAUACUGAGAGCCUUGAGUUCGGGAGAGGUGAGUGGAACUGCGAGUGUAGAGGUGAAAUUCGUAGAUAUUCGCAAGAACACCAGUGGCGAAGGCGGCUCACUGGCCCGAUACUGACGCUGAGGUGCGAAAGCGUGGGGAGCAAACAGGG